CUCAAUCAUUAACCAGGUAUUCAAGCUCUAUUUUGCGCAUGUUGUUUUCCUUUUCUUCUUUAGAACAAGAAGCCACCACUUAACCAUGAAAACUCAUUCGACUUCCCUCGUUCUUUUGUUUGUCCUAUUGAUAACCAUUGGAAAUGAGCUGGAAAUGAUGCAAGGUGUGGAGGCUCAGUGUCAAGUGACACUGUACGGUGGCGGCUGUCAAAGCAACCCUUGCAACACUGCAUGUGUGAAGAAAUACGGACCAAAAGCAUAUGGAUUUUGCUUCUUCUACAAAAGCCCUAGCGACACUUGUGUGUGCCGUCAUCCUUGUUGAUGCUUUUUUCUUAUGUCCUUUUUGUGCUAUUUGAGAUUAUUAAAGAGAAUUAGUGAAGCAUCAUAUAUUUUCUUUUUUAGCUAGAGAAGCGUCGACAUGUUCAAUAACAAAAUUUUCACAAUA